AAGUAACGAUAAAGCGGGUGAAAAGCCCGCUCGCCGGAAGACCAAGGGUUCCUGUCCAACGUUAAUCGGGGCAGGGUGAGUCGACCCCUAAGGCGAGGCCGAAAGGCGUAGUCGAUGGGAAACGGGUUAAUAUUCCCGUACUUGGUGUUACUGCGAAGGGGGGACGGAGAAGGCUAUGUUGGCCGGGCGACGGUUGUCCCGGUUUAAGCGUGUAGGUGUGUGUUCCAGGUAAAUCCGGUUCACUUUAACACUGAGGCGUGAUGACGAGGCACUACGGUGCUGAAGCAACAAAUGCCCUGCUUCCAGGAAAAGCCUCUAAGCAUCAGGUAACAUCAAAUCGUACCCCAAACCGACACAGGUGGUCAGGUAGAGAAUACCAAGGCGCUUGAGAGAACUCGGGUGAAGGAACUAGGCAAAAUGGUGCCGUAACUUCGGGAGAAGGCACGCUGACACGUAGGUGAAGUGAUUUACUCAUGGAGCUGAAGUCAGUCGAAGAUACCAGCUGGCUGCAACUGUUUAUUAAAAACACAGCACUGUGCAAACACGAAAGUGGACGUAUACGGUGUGACGCCUGCCCGGUGCCGGAAGGUUAAUUGAUGGGGUCAGCGCAAGCGAAGCUCCUGAUCGAAGCCCCGGUAAACGGCGGCCGUAACUAUAACGGUCCUAAGGUAGCGAAAUUCCUUGUCGGGUAAGUUCCGACCUGCACGAAUGGCGUAAUGAUGGCCAGGCUGUCUCCACCCGAGACUCAGUGAAAUUGAACUCGCUGUGAAGAUGCAGUGUACCCGCGGCAAGACGGAAAGACCCCGUGAACCUUUACUAUAGCUUGACACUGAACAUUGAGCCUUGAUGUGUAGGAUAGGUGGGAGGCUUUGAAGUGUGGACGCCAGUCUGCAUGGAGCCGACCUUGAAAUACCACCCUUUAAUGUUUGAUGUUCUAACGUGGACCCGUAAUCCGGGUUGCGGACAGUGUCUGGUGGGUAGUUUGACUGGGGCGGUCUCCUCCUAAAGAGUAACGGAGGAGCACGAAGGUUGGCUAAUCCUGGUCGGACAUCAGGAGGUUAGUGCAAUGGCAUAAGCCAGCUUGACUGCGAGCGUGACGGCGCGAGCAGGUGCGAAAGCAGGUCAUAGUGAUCCGGUGGUUCUGAAUGGAAGGGCCAUCGCUCAACGGAUAAAAGGUACUCCGGGGAUAACAGGCUGAUACCGCCCAAGAGUUCAUAUCGACGGCGGUGUUUGGCACCUCGAUGUCGGCUCAUCACAUCCUGGGGCUGAAGUAGGUCCCAAGGGUAUGGCUGUUCGCCAUUUAAAGUGGUACGCGAGCUGGGUUUAGAACGUCGUGAGACAGUUCGGUCCCUAUCUGCCGUGGGCGCUGGAGAACUGAGGGGGGCUGCUCCUAGUACGAGAGGACCGGAGUGGACGCAUCACUGGUGUUCGGGUUGUCAUGCCAAUGGCACUGCCCGGUAGCUAAAUGCGGAAGAGAUAAGUGCUGAAAGCAUCUAAGCACGAAACUUGCCCCGA
rnacentral:rRNA from 1 species